UGGGGAAUAUUGCGCAAUGGGCGAAAGCCUGACGCAGCGACGCCGCGUGAGGGAUGAAGGUUUUCGGAUCGUAAACCUCUGUCAGAAGGGAAGAAACUACAUUGUGCUAAUCAGCAGUGUACUGACGGUACCUUCAAAGGAAGCACCGGCUAACUCCGUGCCAGCAGCCGCGGUAAUACGGAGGGUGCAAGCGUUAAUCGGAAUUACUGGGCGUAGAGCGCACGUAGGCUGUAGUGUAAGUCAGGGGUGAAAUCCCACGGCUCAACCGUGGAACUGCCUUUGAUACUGCACAACUUGAAUCCGGGAGAGGGUGGCGGAAUUCCAGGUGUAGGAGUGAAAUCCGUAGAUAUCUGGAGGAACAUCAGUGGCGAAGGCGGCCACCUGGACCGGUAUUGACGCUGAGGUGCGAAAGCGUGGGGAGCAAACAG
rnacentral:rRNA from 1 species